rnacentral:misc_RNA from 1 species
CACGCCGUGGGGGGCUGGGAGCCUCUGACCGGGAACCCCCCCACCCCCCUACCCGGCCACCCUUGUCUACCGGACCUGUUGCCUCGGCGGGCCUGCAGCAUGCUGCCGGGGGAGCUUCUCCUCCCCCGGGCCCGUGUCGCCGGGGACACCGCAAGAACCGUGGUGAACGAUUGGCGUCUGAGCAUGAGAGCGAUAAUAAUCCAGUCAAAACUUUCAACAACGGAUCUCUUGGUUCCGACAUCGAUGAAGAACGCAGCGAAAUGCGAUAAGUAAUGUGAAUUGCAGAAUUCCGUGAAUCAUCGAAUCUUUGAACGCACAUUGCGCCCCCUGGUAUUCCGGGGGGCAUGCCUGUCCGAGCGUCAUUGCAACCCUCAAGCGCGGCUUGUGUGUUGGGCCGUCGUCCCCCCUCGACCGGCGGGACGUGCCCGAAAUGCAGUGGCGGUGUCGAGUUCCGGUGCCCGAGCGUAUGGGGCUUUGCCACCCGCUCUGGAGGCCCGGCCGGCUCCCGCCCACCAU